rnacentral:rRNA from 1 species
AACGAACGCUGGCGGCAGGCCUAACACAUGCAAGUCGAGCGCCCCGCAAGGGGAGGCGGCGGACGGGUGAGUAACACGUGGGAAUUUUCCUCAAGGUACGGAACAACUCAGGGAAACUUGGGCUAAUACCGUAUGAUGCAGAGAUGCCAAAGAUUUAUCGCCUUGGGAUAAGCCCGCGUCAGAUUAGGUAGUUGGUGGGGAAUGGCCUACCAACGCCUGUGAUCUGUAGCUGGUCUGAGAGGACGAUCAGCCACAUUGGGACGUGAGACACGGCCCAAACUCCUACGGGAGGCGAGCAGUGGGGAAGUCUUGCGCAAUGGACGAAAGUACUGACGCAGCCAUGCCGCGUGAAUGAUGAAGGU